GGCUGUGUGGUCUUGUGGUAUGAUUCUCGCUUUGGGAGCGAGAGGUCUUGAGUUCGAUUCUCGACUCAGCCC
rnacentral:tRNA from 1 species